rnacentral:rRNA from 1 species
UACGGAAGGGGCGAGCGUUGUUCGGAAUCAUUGGGCGUAAAGGGCGCGUAGGUGGUUCUGUAUGUCUACCGUGAAAGCGUACGGCUCAACCGUAUUUUUGUCGGUAGAAACUGCAGGACUUGAGGCUGGGAGGGGCUGGUGGAAUUCCCGGUGUAGUGGUGAAAUGCGUAGAUAUCGGGAGGAACACCAGUGGCGAAGGCGGCUUUCUGGCCUGUUCUUUGACGCUGAGGGCGCGAAAGCUAGGGGGAGCGAAACGGGGAUUAGAAACC